rnacentral:rRNA from 1 species
CCCUUAGAUGUUCUGGGCCGCACGCGCGCUACACUGAUGCAUUCAACGAGUCUAAAACCUGCUCUGAUAGGGGUGGGUAAUCUUUUGAAUGUGCAUCGUGAUUGGGAUAGAUGAUUGCAAUUUUUCAUCUUCAACGAGGAAUGCCUAGUAAACGCAAGUCAUCAGCUUGCAUUGAUUACGUCCCUGCCCUUUGUACACACCGCCCGUCGCUUCUACCGAUUGAAUGAUCCGAUGAAUAUCAUGGAUUGAGGAUGCAAGUAGGUUCGCCUAUCUUCAUCUUCGAGAAGUGAAGUAAAUCUUAUCAUUUAGAGGAAGGAGAAGUCGUAACA